CAGUCGCCGCGGUAAAACGAAGGGGGCUAGCGUUGCUCGGAAUGACUGGGCGUAAAGGGCGCGUAGGCGGAUUGUUUAGUUAGGCGUGAAAUUCCUGGGCUUAACCUGGGGACUGCGCUUAAUACAGGCAGUCUAGAGUGAGGAAGAGGGUUGUGGAAUUCCCAGUGUAGAGGUGAAAUUCGUAGAUAUUGGGAAGAACACCGGUGGCGAAGGCGGCGACCUGGUCCAUUACUGACGCUGAGGCGCGAAAGCGUGGGGAGCAAACAGGAUUAGAUACCCCAGUAGUCCCUGUCUCUUAUAC
rnacentral:rRNA from 1 species